rnacentral:rRNA from 1 species
UCCUUCGACGCCGGUUCACCGCCUGUCGGUGCCAACUGGCGUUUUGCGGGACGUCCUGUCGGUGGUGCGUCUGGAAUCUUAGUUGUGCUAUGCUUUGCUUAGUGCAGCUCUGGUUUUGGGCCACUUUCAUAAUCCCGCCGCGGUGCUCUUAAUCGAGUGUCGAGGCGGGCCGGCACGUUUACUUUGAACAAAUUAGAGUGCUUCAAGCAGGCUUGUCACGCCUGUAUACUGUGUGCAUGGAAUAAUGGAAUAGGACCUCGGUUCUAUUUUGUUGGUUUCCGGAAUCUGAGGUAAUGAUCAAUGGGGACAGGCGGGGGCAUUCGUAUUGCGACGUUAGAGGUGAAAUUCUUGGAUCGUCGCAAGACGGACCGAAGCGAAAGCAUUUGCCAAGUAUGUUCCCGUCGAUCAAGAACGAAAGUUAGAGGUUCGAAGGCGAUCAGAUACCGCCCUAGUUCUAACCAUAAACAAUGCCUGCCAGCGAUCCGCCGGCGUCCCUCCGAUGACCCGGCGGGCAGCUUCCGGGAAACCAGAGCUUUUGGGUUCCGGGGGAAGUAUGGUUGCAAAGCUGAAACUUAAAGGAAUUGACGGAAGGGCACCACCAGGAGUGGAGCCUGCGGCUUAAUUUGACUCAACACGGGAAAACUCACCAGGCCCGGACACCGGAAGGAUUGACAGAUUGAUAGCUCUUUCUUGAUUCGGUGGGUGGUGGUGCAUGGCCGUUCUUAGUUGGUGGAGCGAUUUGUCUGGUUAAUUC